GGAGCGCUAAGAGGGUUGACUCUGAAUCCAGACCACUCAAAUGUGAAGAGCAGCUCCAGAACUCACCAGGCAUGUGACCUGGGGCACAUCUGAGGCUCUUGGAGUCAGUUUCCAAGUCCAUAAAGUGUACUGAUAAUAGGGGCAUCUGUUUCAAAGAACUGUGAGGAGGAUUCAGUGGCUGAGCUCAUGAGAAGUGGUUAGAAGAGUGUCUGCCUCCACAAAUGUUGGCUUUUGUCAUUCAGUCUGGACAAGGUCAUUGGAUUCGCCAUUGAGGAGUCAACUUGCACGAGUAGGAGUUCACGAGAAUUUCUGGCAGAGAGACGAGGUCUGAGGGAGCCUAGGAUGAGGAGGAGGACAACCAAGUGUCCAUGUUACCCGCAGUCACCCUCACAGACGCCCGUGGAGAGAGAGGGUGCAGCCAGCAAUGGAACGUGAGGACGCACAGAGCUACUUCAGGGCUAGACCAAAGCAUGACCAAGGGUGAGAAAGAAGGAAGUCUCCCUGACACUUCUGCACAGGACACAAAAUUGUUCUUGUGCAGCAAGGCUGGAGGAGAACCCAACAGACUUUGGAUGCCACAGAAUGGGAACCAAGGGGCACCUGGAGAGAAUUCCACCAGGACAGAUGUCAGCUGUCCCAGUGAGGACUCCAGCCCCAUAGGUGGCGCUGAGGGACUACAUAAGCAGGGACAUCAUCUGGGGGCAAAAGCUGCGCAUCCACAGGUCAAGGGUAAGAACAAGACAGCUGCUCUGUGAAGACUCUCUGACUCAGGGAGCGGGAUUCCGCACAGAGCUGAUGUCCUAACAGGUAAAAGUGGAUGAUUAAACCCUGUGGCCCACAGGUUUGCGUGCCCCCAAGAGGAAGGGGGGAUCUUGGGUAGCACUUUGGGGUAAGAAGUUUGCUGUUCCUGAGCUAGACGCACACUAGCUGCACACCGGCUGCAGCCCUCCUCCCCGGAACCACAGCUCUCACCGUUUCUGAACCAAAUGUCAGGAUACCUGAUGGGAAUGCCGGCUUGAUCCCCGAUAAAGCCAACUGGAAAAGGUGGCUUCAGACUACAGCCAGAGGUGAGACAAAGAUAUUCCAUCAGGUGAAAACUACUUCUCGCCAUGUUUGUGCUGUACCAUCUACACAAAAAGCCACCCUGAUGGGACACUGUGAGAACUGUGGAUUCAAGGACAUACAAAGCCCUGGGUGAUGGAACCUGGAAAGUUCAGCUGCCUUGACCCUGAAGCAAGAUGCCCAGACUGAGCCACAGCACAAGUGGAGAAAGAAUGCAAGACGAUGGCACUUUUUUUAAAAGAAAGAUUUGGCAUCAUCUGCUGGACUCUGUUUCAUGAUCAACUAAUAACGAGAUCAUUUGCCAUCUGGUCACGAAUUGCACCUGCAGGUGUUUCCAAGCAU